GAUGAACGCUGGCGGCGUGCCUAAUACAUGCAAGUCGAGCGAACGGACGAGAAGCUUGCUUCUCUGAUGUUAGCGGCGGACGGGUGAGUAACACGUGGAUAACCUACCUAUAAGACUGGGAUAACUUCGGGAAACCGUAGCUAAUACCGGAUAAUCUUUUGAACCGCAUGGUUCAAAAGUGAAAGACGGUCUUGCUGUCACUUAUAGAUGGAUCCGCGCUGCAUUAGCUAGUUGGUAAGGUAACGGCUUACCAAGGCAACGAUGCAUAGCCGACCUGAGAGGGUGAUCGGCCACACUGGAAAUGAGACACGGUCCAGACUCCUACGGGAGGCAGCAGUAGGGAAUCUUCAGCAAUGGGCGAAAGACUGACGGAGCAAGGCCGCGUGAGUGAUGAAGGUCUUCGGAUCGUAAAACUCUGUUAUUAGGGAAGAACAUAUGUGUAAGUAACUGUGCACAUCUUGACGGUACCUAAUCAGAAAGCCACGGCUAACUACGUG
rnacentral:rRNA from 1 species